rnacentral:rRNA from 1 species
UGUUUGAUGUUCUAACGUGGACCCGUGAUCCGGGUUGCGGACAGUGUCUGGUGGGUAGUUUGACUGGGGCGGUCUCCUCCUAAAGAGUAACGGAGGAGCACGAAGGUUGGCUAAUCCUGGUCGGACAUCAGGAGGUUAGUGCAAUGGCAUAAGCCAGCUUGACUGCGAGCGUGACGGCGCGAGCAGGUGCGAAAGCAGGUCAUAGUGAUCCGGUGGUUCUGAAUGGAAGGGCCAUCGCUCAACGGAUAAAAGGUACUCCGGGGAUAACAGGCUGAUACCGCCCAAGAGUUCAUAUCGACGGCGGUGUUUGGCACCUCGAUGUCGGCUCAUCACAUCCUGGGGCUGAAGUAGGUCCCAAGGGUAUGGCUGUUCGCCAUUUAAAGUGGUACGCGAGCUGGGUUUAGAACGUCGUGAGACAGUUCGGUCCCUAUCUGCCGUGGGCGCUGGAGAACUGAGGGGGGCUGCUCCUAGUACGAGAGGACCGGAGUGGACGCAUCACUGGUGUUCGGGUUGUCAUGCCAAUGGCACUGCCCGGUAGCUAAAUGCGGAAGAGAUAAGUGCUGAAAGCAUCUAAGCACGAAACUUGCCCCGAGAUGAGUUCUCCCUGAGACUUAGAGUCUCCUGAAGGAACGUUGAAGACGACGACGUUGA